CCCCAACCUGCCUGGGCAAGAUGGCCCCACUUAUAAUUUACUAUACCCCAUAAUAUAUGGGCAAAGCACUUUCCCCUCCACCUCCACUCACGUUUCCCCUCCCCACAGCUCACAAUCUUCUCUCUCUCUUUGGGAUUGUUCUUGAGAGAAGGGGAGAAGGAAUUGCAUGGGAAAUUGAUUAUUGGCUUUGAUUCUUCUUUCCCCCAACAAUAUUUCUAGUUCCUAGUCAGAUCUGGUGAAAUCAUGAAGAUGUAUACGGAAUCUGUCCAUUAUGUUAUCAAGAAACGACGGGCGUUAGGUGUUCUAGCUGUAAUGUUGGCCAUUGUCCGGUGGCGUCGUCAACGUAGACAUUACAGUCUUAGAAUGUCUCGAAGAAAGUAUGGGCCAUUGGUUGAUAGAGAUCUGGAGAGGCAAAAAAAGUUGAAUGACCUGUACAAUUCAACCGAUAAAAAUUGCAUCAGUCAACUCCGGACGACGGGGCCGCUGCGCAGUGGGUUUGAUGAUGUGAACAAACAAGUGAUGCUCUCCAAAUCUACUCUAGAUGGCUUAUCGGCUAAUGAUCGUGGAAUUCUCUCUAAACCGAUUCAGUUCUACGACAAGUUGAAGGAUUAUUUAGUGGCUCGUCGGCAGAUGGCUCUUUUAUGCAAGACCCUUUCUCUGCAGCUGAAACUGACAAUGAUGAUAAGGUAAAAGAUGACAUGAUGAAUGAUAUGUCCACCUUUGAUGAAGCGAAGGGUCCAACAGGUCAUGACUCGGAUAAAUUAGAUACAGAUAGUGAUGAUUGUGAAGCGGUGGCUGCUCUUGCUGCACUGAUAGUCAAGUUUCCUCGUCCAAUGUUUUUUUGACCCUUUAACAGUAGGAGAACCUCCUACUGUUUUUGUAUUAAUAUAAAAGGGGUAACACUUUACAUGAGGAUUUUUACAUGAUGACUUUACAAUUCACCCUUCCUUUGGGAGGUGGGGGGGAACUUAAGCUAUAGAGGAGAGGAUGAGUGGGAUGAGAUUUUUAUGCUUUUCCUUAACCCUAUAGAUACUCCAUGCGGCCGUCAGGAAUAGCUCCAUGAAAAGAGGCCUGUUCCAGUUAUUCUUGGCAGACACAACUUGUUGCAGGCGAGGUUGUCCCUGAUUCCACGUAAUUCCAAGGCUGGACCAACAUUCAGUACUGAAUUGACACUCAAAAAAGAGGUGUUCCAGUGUUUCCUCAAUGUGCAGCCCACAUAGGAUGCAAUCAUAGUCAUUUCCUAUAUUGUAAUGUCUCCUCUUGAGCAUAUUUCGCGUGUUCAAUCGGUCAGAAAGGAGCAGCCAUCCAAAAACUUUAAUUUUCAUGGUGGAUUUUCCUCGUCCAAUGUUGCGGCUCUAAAGCCUAACAAGAAAAGUUUCAAAAAAAGUCCAAAGCCAAAUACUCUGCCACCACCACAAAAUGAUAAAGCUAAAAGGUCAAAGCCAAGAUCAUCUCAAGCAUCACAAGAUGACACUAAUAUGGAUGUGCUGCUCACAAGUACUUUGAUAGGCAUACGAGAAACCCUUGCAAGUCCAGUACAGACUGUAGCCCCAAAGGACCCAAAUGCUCCUUUAUGGGACAUGCUCAAGAAGAUUCCGUUGCCACCUGAUGAGAGGAUGUCGGUCGGGAUGCAUCUAUGCAAGCCAGAAUUUGCAGUCCAUCGAGGUUUUCUUGUCAACAUGGGUCAAGAAUACCUGGAGCGUUGGGUGUAUACAUACUUAUCUUAUCUGACAAUUAUCCUGCUGGCAAACGUGUCGGCGAUGAUCUUGUUGGUAACCUUGGAAACAAAGAUCCUGCUAGUAACCUUGGCGAUGAUCCUGCUGUUAACUCUAGCCCUUUCUGAGUAAGAUUGAUUGGUGGUCUACCAUAUUGUUGGAUCCUUUUGGUUGCAAAACACUAGUUUCUAAGUAGUCAAUGACUAGCUUUUGGCUAUGCACAACUGAUGUCUAAGUAAUGGCUGAUGGUGGUAUUAUUUUGCUACAGCCUUCUGCUUAGUUUCCAAGUAGUAUCAGCAUGCAUGAUAUGAUUAUUAGAUGCUAAUGUGAAAGCUGUGUUGCUUUCUGACUUGGAUAAGUUUCUAGGUAGUAUCAGGAUGAAUACAUAAUUAGACUUCUGGUUAUGUUAAUUCCACAAGGAUAAUUUGUGUAUCUCUUGCAUUCCAGAUGUGCUGGACAAUGAGUAUUAAUCAAAUGUAAUGCAUUGUGGUUAUUCAACAGCAAUGUUGCUGUGUAUCCUCAGAGUUAUAAAAUCAUUUGCCUUCA